AAUAAACUUGUUCUCUCAUUUUGCUUCAGAGUGGUAUCUCUGAGUGAUGGACAUUAGAUAUUACGUUUUUUCUUUUUUUUUAAUCCUAUCUCUUCUUUAUUUUGUUUUUUUUUUCUUUCUUUGUUUUACCGAGUACCCAUUGAAACGUUUACAAAACUCUCGUGACUGUAAGAUUUCCACUUAUCAAUUUGUUCUCUCGUCUUAUCGUUGGUGUUUUUUAAUAAAUUGCCCGAACCCUGGCGGAAAUUCGGUUAUUCUUUUACAACAAGCAUCGUUGUUAAGAGCAUAUAGAGUUUCAAAGAAGAAGCGUUUCGUGUUCUUUUUUUUUUCUUUCCCUCUCUCUUUAAAUUUACAUCAAGAAAGAUAUAUAUACGCGUAUGUAUAAUAUACAAUUCUCAUCGGCCAAUGAGUCGAACGUCAUCUAUAUAAGCAUGGAUUGACAGGUGAUGGGGAUGUGACGAAGGUGAAAAAGUGGGGAAAGGAAUUUUUUUGAAUGGAUGUUCGAAGGAAUGGAAUCUCGAUCCGGGAACAGGGAAAAGAGACAGAGAGAUGGAAAGGAUUCGGGUAAUUGUCGUAAUUAUAAACAUUGCGAUCUAAAAGUACAAUUCUCGAUAAUAAUAAAUCACUUUAUGACUUGUACUUUUUUUUUUUUUUAAUUCUCGCACGAUUGUCUAUAUUCCCGAAAUACUUGCGUUGAACAUCUUCGAAUGGACUGGUGUCUCGGUUUAUCAUUCCCUUCCCCACACAUACGCAUGCACAAUAACGAAGGGCCAAGAAUGAUCUUGAUUUUUCUUUCUCUUGCGCUACAUCGCUGAUUUUACCUUCACUUAGGGGGAUAAUACACUUGGUUAUUGUUUUUGGCUGGGUAACGAGGCUGCCACGAGAUCGCCAUUGACGUUUUUUCCUUCUUUUUUCAACGUUCAAUGCAAUAUUUUCCAUCAAUAUUACAAUUAACGAAUAAAAGAUGCGACGUUACAGUUAGUCACAAAAGUAUCCAGUAGUAUCCAAGUAGUAUUUUGGGAAGAAGAGAACAA